rnacentral:lncRNA from 1 species
GCAAUAUUCCACUUUCUAUCAUGUUAGCUACAUUUUAAGUACUUAACAGCCACGUGUGACUAGUGGCUACCAUAUUGGAUAGCACAGAUAAAGAAGAGUUCCAUCACUGCAGAAAAUUCUACUGGACAGUGUUGCUUUGGAGCAAUGGGGGAAGAUUAGAUUUGGACGUUAAUUUGGAAUUAAGGGUUCAAUUCUUAGUUCUCUUUUUUUCUAGCCUUGGGGAAUUGUGCCAUUUGGUUGUCCUUCAUGAUCCUGAAUCUCAAGCACACCUGUGUGUGUAGACACACACCUACAUACCCUGAUACUCAAACAAGGCUGACGAAGAUAGUGAUUAUAAUAAACUGCAUGAGCCCCAAGGAAAAACCAAGCCACAAGCCCAGCUCUGCUGACCUGAUCUCUCACCGCCUGUCAGUCAUCUCCAACAAGUGACUGAGGACAAACACCACCAGAAUCUCAUUCUCGAUGUAUACGCAUCUUAAGAGUGCUGUAGCACGGACAACCAAACUUUUGGUAAUCCACAUGCCAAACUGAAUUUAAAAUUCCUGGAUUUAUUGUAAGACAGAAAAGCCAAAAAAAAAAUCACAAACGAGAAUUUUGGAUUUCAAGGAAAUGUUCGAUUGUAGAGGAGAGGCACAUGGCAGAAGAGGAGAGGGCUAUGUGAAGAUAGAGGCAAAGGUUGAAGUGAUGCUGCCACAAGCCAAGGAACACCAGGAGCCACCAGAAGCUGGAAAAGGCAAAGAAGGAAUCUUCCCUAGAAUCUUCAGAGGAAGUGUGGGCCUGACAACACCUUGAUUUUGGACUUCUGGCCUUCGGUACUGUCAAAGAAUAAAUCCUUUUGUUUUGAGUCACCAAG